CUUUAACCAACUGCUCUUUUCCUUCUUCGGUCAUACUAAAGAACACAUCAGUUAACUCGUGAGAAUGCGCUAUAUGACAAACGGCCUUGAUAAUUUCUCCUACAGUGAGGUUGGAAAUCUUUCUUAUCUCAGAAUCAAUUUUUUGCCUCUUCUCAGAUAUUUCAGCAUCAACCCCAACUGCUUUUCCAAAGAUCUGACUGGCUUUGGCAAUUUCACUUCCAAUAACUGCAGCUGCAUCUUUAAUAUCUG
rnacentral:lncRNA from 1 species